CUUGCUUCUCUUGAGAGCGGCGGACGGGUGAGUAAUGCCUAGGAAUCUGCCUGGUAGUGGGGGAUAACGUCCGGAAACGGACGCUAAUACCGCAUACGUCCUACGGGAGAAAGCAGGGGACCUUCGGGCCUUGCGCUAUCAGAUGAGCCUAGGUCGGAUUAGCUAGUUGGUGGGGUAAUGGCUCACCAAGGCGACGAUCCGUAACUGGUCUGAGAGGAUGAUCAGUCACACUGGAACUGAGACACGGUCCAGACUCCUACGGGAGGCAGCAGUGGGGAAUAUUGGACAAUGGGCGAAAGCCUGAUCCAGCCAUGCCGCGUGUGUGAAGAAGGUCUUCGGAUUGUAAAGCACUUUAAGUUGGGAGGAAGGGCAGUAAAUUAAUACUUUGCUGUUUUGACGUUACCGACAGAAUAAGCACCGGCUAACUCUGUGCCAGCAGCCGCGGUAAUACAGAGGGUGCAAGCGUUAAUCGGAAUUACUGGGCGUAAAGCGCGCGUAGGUGGUUCGUUAAGUUGGAUGUGAAAUCCCCGGGCUCAACCUGGGAACUGCAUUCAAAACUGACGAGCUAGAGUAUGGUAGAGGGUGGUGGAAUUUCCUGUGUAGCGGUGAAAUGCGUAGAUAUAGGAAGGAACACCAGUGGCGAAGCGACCACCUGGACUGAUACUGACACUGAGUGCGAAAGUGUGGGGGAGCAAACAGGAUUAGAUACCCUGGUAGUCCACGCCGUAAACGAUGUCAACUAGCCGUUGGGAGCCUUGAGCUCUUA
rnacentral:rRNA from 1 species